rnacentral:rRNA from 1 species
AUUGAACGCUGGCGGCAGGCCUAACACAUGCAAGUCGAACGAGUGGCGGACGGGUGAGUAAUGUAUGCGAAACUGCCUGAUGGAGGGGGAUAACUACUGGAAACGGUAGCUAAUACCGCAUACCAUCAGUAGUGCCCAGAUGGGAUUAGCUAGUUGGUGGGGUAACGGCUCACCAAGGCGACGAUCCAUAGCUUGCCUGAGAGGAUGACCAGCCCCACUGGAACUGAGACACGGCCCAGACUCCUACGGGAGGCAGCAGUCGAGAUUAUUGCAAAAUGGGCGCAAGCCUGAUGCGGCUAUGCCGGGUGUAUGAAGAAGGCCUUCGGGUUGUAAAGUACUUUCAGCGGGAAGGCGUUACCCGCAGAAGAAGCACCGGCUAACUCCGUGCCAGCAGCCGCGGUAAUAC